GUGGACGCCAGUCUGCGUGGAGCCGACCUUGAAAUACCACCCUUUAAUGUUUGAUGUUCUAACGUGGACCCGUAAUCCGGGUUGCGGACAGUGUCUGGUGGGUAGUUUGACUGGGGCGGUCUCCUCCUAAAGAGUAACGGAGGAGCACGAAGGUUGGCUAAUCCUGGUCGGACAUCAGGAGGUUAGUGCAAUGGCAUAAGCCAGCUUGACUGCGAGCGUGACGGCGCGAGCAGGUGCGAAAGCAGGUCAUAGUGAUCCGGUGGUUCUGAAUGGAAGGGCCAUCGCUCAACGGAUAAAAGGUACUCCGGGGAUAACAGGCUGAUACCGCCCAAGAGUUCAUAUCGACGGCGGUGUUUGGCACCUCGAUGUCGGCUCAUCACAUCCUGGGGCUGAAGUAGGUCCCAAGGGUAUGGCUGUUCGCCAUUUAAAGUGGUACGCGAGCUGGGUUUAGAACGUCGUGAGACAGUUCGGUCCCUAUCUGCCGUGGGCGCUGGAGAACUGAGGGGGGCUGCUCCUAGUACGAGAGGACCGGAGUGGACGCAUCACUGGUGUUCGGGUUGUCAUGCCAAUGGCACUGCCCGGUAGCUAAAUGCGGAAGAGAUAAGUGCUGAAAGCAUCUAAGCACGAAACUUGCCCCGAGAUGAGUUCUCCCUGAGACUUUAAGUCUCCUGAAGGAACGUUGAAGACGACGACGUUGAUAGGCCGGGUGUGUAAGCGCAG
rnacentral:rRNA from 1 species